rnacentral:rRNA from 1 species
UACGAAGGGUGCAAACGUUGCUCGGAAUUAUUGGGCGUAAAGCGCACGUAGGCGGCUUAGCAAGUCGGAAGUGAAAGCCCUCGGCUCAACCAAGGAAGUGCUUUCGAAACUGCUGAGCUUGAGUACUUAAGAGGAUCGCGGAAUUCCCGGUGUAGAGGUGAAAUUCGUAGAUAUCGGGAGGAACACCAGUGGCGAAGGCGAGUCUCUGGACAUUUCCUGACGCUGAGGCACGAAAGCCAGGGGAGCAAACGGG